rnacentral:rRNA from 1 species
UAAUUUUUGUAAAAUUAAAUAUUUUAUGUAUAAUUUUUUAUCUCUAAGGUAAAAUUAGGAGAUUUAAUAUUUUUUUAUUUAAUUUAUAAGAUUUGAUAAACGAACCAGAUUAGUACCUGGUUAGACAAAAUUAAAAAGAGCAGGAGUAAAGUUAAAUUUAAACUGAAAGGAUAUUGGCAGACUUUUUAAAUUAUCUUUGGAGGUUGAGUAGUAACCGAGAACCCUCGUUUUCAUCUUCUAUUUUUGGCGCAUGUAUGAUCGUUUAUUUUAUUCUUAGGGAUUGUAAUUAAAAAUUUUUAUUUAUUAAAAUAGAUAAAUACCUGGUUUAUAUAGAAGUUUAAACUUGACCUACAAUAUAUAAUUAUAUGGAAUUAUAAUGGGGACAUUUUAAUGAAAUUGUAAAAGACAGUAAACUAUUUUUUAUAUAUAGUUGAAGUUUAUCUAAAAGUGGUACAAAUCAU